rnacentral:pre_miRNA from 1 species
CUUGUACUCCCUCCGUUCGGAAUUACUUGUCUCGGAAAUGGAUGUAUCUAGAACUAAAAUACGUUUAGAUAUAUCCAUUUCUGCGACAAGUAAUUCCGAACGGAGGGAGUAGCUA